rnacentral:tRNA from 1 species
GGACGCAUAGUUCAAUGGAUAGAACACGAGUUUGCCUAACACGGAGAUGUGGGUUCGAGUCCCACUGCGUUUA